UGGGUGGGAACUCUCAAUGGUUCUUUGGUUUGUCCUUCUGGAGGAGUCCUGAAAGUUUCAAUGUAGAACCCUACACUAGAAGUUUUCCCUGUCCAAGUAGAGCACCCUUAUGGUAGCUAAGAACUAUUAACUGCACUAAGAAAAGCUUGAGAACCCAUUUUUGAUCUAAGAGCGUAGAUACGGUCAAGCUAGUUUACACAAUUGGUAGGACUUCAGGACCUGGAUAGAACUGUCCAGACACUCUGAGUAAAAAAGGGGAUUGGUCCAUUUGAAUACAAAUAAAUAAACAAUUUUAUAAAUCACUACAGGCCACAUUGAAGAUCAAGAUAUACCACUGAGUGGAGGCAUCAGAGAAGCUAAGCAAAAGCUUUCUGGUCUUUUGCCAUGUCGCCAUGUCUGUUUUAGUAGCGUGAGACGUGAGACUCCGAAAGUAGGACAGUAAAUUUGAUACUAUAGGGUGUGUCUAUAAAGUUAGUAAGUGCUGCAGUGGGGUGUGGUUGGGUUUGGUUAUAGAUUUGCUGUUAAUGGAGAAAAACUAAGAUACUUAAGAUAACUAAGAUUGAACGUAAUUACGAAUGGCUGAUGUUAUGCUGCAUAUUAAGGCUUUAAUGUAGUAUGUCCAAACUGUAAUGUAAGAUGUCCACACUGUAAUAGAAGAUGUCCACACUGUAAUGUAAUUUGUCUAAACUGUAAUGUAAGAUGUCCACAAUGCAAUAUAAGAUGUCUACACUUUAAUGUAAGUCCAAACUGUAAUGUAUGAUAUCUACACUAUAAUAUAAGAUGCCCAAACUGUAAUAUAAGAUGUCCACACUAUAAUAUAAGAUGUCCACAGUGCAAUAUAAGAUGUCCAAACUGUAAUGUGUUAUGUCCAAACUGUAAUGUAAGAUGUCCAAACUGUAAUGUGUUAUGUCCAAACUGUAAUGUAAGAUGUCCACAAUGCAAUAUAAGAUGUCCAAACUUUAAUAUAAGAUGUCCACACUAUAAUGUAUUAUAUCCACACUUUAAUAUAAAAUGUCCACACUGUAAUGUAUGAUAUCCACACUUUAAUAUAAGAUGUCCACAUUGUAAUGUAUGAUGUCCACACUGUAAUGUAAGAUGUCCACACUUUAAUAUAAGAUGUCCACACUGUAAUGUAUUAUAUCCACACUUUAAUAUAAGAUGUCCACACUGUAAUGUAUGAUAUCCACACUUUAAUAUAAGAUGUCCACACUGUAAUGUAUUAUAUCUAUACUUUGAUAUAAGAUGUCCAAACUGUAAUAUAAGAUGUCCGCAUUGAUGUAUUAUGUUGACACUGUAAAAUAUGAUGUUGUACAAACAACAUAAUACAAU
ensembl:lncRNA